rnacentral:lncRNA from 13 species
CCCGCAGCCAUAGUUGCUGCCGCUUUUCGGGCGUUGCCCAGCACCAGCUCACAGCAGCCCACCCACAGCUGUGGUUCCCGAUGCGGGACACAUGCUGUCGCUGCUGCUUGCAAGUCGCGCCUGGCCCGCCACGGGAACCGCACAGACUUGCUGCAGCCUGCAGCACACACGCUCCACUUGCCGAGCAGAUGCUGACGGGGCGUCCCAGGAUUCUAGCGGGGAACAAAUGGCCAGGUGCUUAAGAAGAACAAAAGACCUGGCUUCUCUUUUUUGUUUCACCUGGGUGUGUGAUCAGUCGGUGUCUGCGUCAGGAGAGAGAGGAAGCUGCUUUUCCUUCAUCCGCUUUUCUUUCUGCUGGAGAAAGACGGGGAUCCCAGCCCCGCCUUUCCUGCCCCGCUCGGAGCCGGGCCAUGGCCGCCCUGCCCCGCCGCUGCUUCGAGCUUUUGCUAUGUUGUAGCCGUGCUCACCCUGCCUCCCUAGACCUCCGGGGGGUUCUCCGUUUGGAUACAUCUCGUCUGCCAUCCGGGAUUUGUGCUCAUCCCUGCCAUUCCAGCCAGCUGUUCCAGCCUGCCAUUCCAGCCUGCUGUUCCUGAGGGUCCAACCAGACACCGGGAUCGGCUGCCCAGGGGCUUGUGAAGCCUUUGUUCCAUCCCUCCCUGGGAUCCCAGGCCACCAGUGCCGCGUGCUCCCCGAGCUCGCUCCGGAGCGCCCCCUGCAGCCGCGGGGGAACCAUCGCACCUGCCCUGCUCACCGGGAGCCGCCAGCGCCCCUGCCGGCUGCGAGCGGAACUGCGCCUGAGGGGAAAGGGCCCGACAGCCGAGAAGGCUGGGACUGGGUUUGUGGUUCUGUUUGCUGUUACUGCCAUAGUUAUUGUUGUUUGUUUGACUGGUUAUACACAUAUAGAUACAUAAUAGUAAAGAACUGUUAUUCCUAUUUUCCACAUCUUUGCCUAAAAGCGCAUUGAUUUCAAAAUUAUAAUAACCUGGAGGGAAGGGGGGUUGCAUCUGCCAUUCCAAGGGAGGCUUCUGCCUUCCUUAGCAGACACCUGUCUUUCAAACCAAGACAAUAUUAAAUGUAUUUAUGUGUAUAUGUAUAUAUGAAAUGUACAGUUCUUACUCAGUGAAAGCUAAGUAAAUAUUAUCUGAGCCCUAUCUCCACAGAAGGGGUACAGAGGUAACUGUGCAGGCUAUGGGGAAAACUGAUGCAGCAGUAGAAGGUAUAAGAAGAGUGGUUUAGCUUUUGGGGAUGGCUUUAGGAGAGGAGUGAGGGCAAGAAGACUGAAAGCUACUUUUGAUUUUGGUUACAGGGCUAACUCCUCUGAAGCAGAGUGAAGUUUCCUCUAAACACACCCAAAAAAGAGCUGUUCCAUUGAUUGGCUGAAAAGGAGAAAUUAAACUUGCAGUGGUCCCACUCCUUGUGUUAGCUGUAAAGAUAGGUAAGUGUGUGGACUGGGAAGGGUAAGGCUCAUGUAAAGAAGUUUUCCAGUGCUGCAUACCAGUGUUGAAAACUAAGUUUCAUGGUGCCAACAGAAACUUUGGAUGGUGUCUCCGAGGCACACUGUGUGCUGCCAGCUGUGUUGAGAGUUUGAGGCAUGAGCCAGGCAUGUGACACCCCAGCCCUGGCCCUCUUGUGUUACUGAUUUUAAUAGAGCAGGUUCUGUGUAACUGGAGGCCUGUUCUGUACCAGUGUUCCCCUGCCUGCCUGUGGGUCUUGCUCUGCUCCCUGUGCUUGUGGUAGCAGCUGUGAUCUGUAGUGCUGGGGUGUCUGUUCCCUGUCUGACCCUGCAUGGCCUUUAGUGAAUGGUAGUGAAAUGGCUUCAGACACCUCUGUCCAAGUGACAUUUGCUUUUUAUUCUGAGUUCUGAAAUACUGUCUGGGCCACAGUUAUUUCUGUGAGCAUGUUAUUCUUGUGCAAAGAGUGAUCACUACCCCCAAAUGUCACAUUUUCAGUGUACUAACAGGCCCUCCUGUGAAACUGCAGGUAGUGCCCAGGGGAGCCAAGCAAGUAAGUGCAGGAGUGUUUUAUUUCCAAAGCUUGUUUUACAAGCUCUGGUGCUUGUUAGUAAGGAGCUUUCAACUGUUCUGGAGUAUUGAUGCUCCUGGUGACUGACAGCAUUUGCUCUUCCUUCCGUUUUGUUUCUUUAUGUUCAUAACUGUGUCCCAUUCUUGUGUGUUUGAGGAAGUUCAAGAGGCAGCAGAAUGUGGUUAACAGCAGUCACAGCCACGAGAUGGCAUGAGGAGCCUGCAGAGACUGAGGAGACACUGAGCCGCUCUGCAGGUCACUUACCCAGUUGAACCCAAGGAUGGAAGCACAGAUCCAGCUACAGGGUUGCAAGGGUCACCUGCAACACCUGUUUCUGGUUUGUCUUUGCUGAUUUCUUUGUGGUUUUGCUGUUUAAAAAAACUAAGCUGUUUUUUCAUUCAAAAGAAAUCAUGGUGGGCAGCUCACUGUAAGGACAUAGUUUAAGGAUAGCCAUCUCAAAGCCUGGAGCAAGUCAGGAUCCUGCCACAGUAUUUUCUUCCUCUUGUAUUUACAGAUAGCUCUUGAGAUGCACUGAUUUGAGACCAAUCUCAGCCUCCUGGGUAAUUCGCUUAUUGGCUUGGGGAAGAAAUUAUGGUCUGUAUACAAUUGGUAGCAUGCUAACAAGCUCCAGUAAUUGCACCCAAGUGUUAUCUUGGAAUGAUGUAAAAGGGAUGUGAAACUGCAAGGCUGGUGUAGCAUUGCAGCAUGGCUGGAUGCUGAUGCUCAAUUAGAUAUGUGUGCUCUGAGGCCUAAAUUUAUGUAGAGCAUUUAAAAAAUGUACUUUCUUGGUCAUUCAUGUUAUGCAAAAUUUCUCUGUUUCUUGAAUAAUUGAUCAGGGAAAAUCACUGCUGUCAUAGGUUAGCAAGCAUAGUCCCGGAAGGGAUGUCCUUGCUAAGGGGUGCUUACAGCUUCCUCUGGGAACUGAAAGAACCUAUCAGCUGGCCAGUUUGAAUAUGGACAAUUCUCUAAGCCACUUAAAGUUGUGACCACCUCUGUGAUACACACUUAAGAAUAGACAAACUCCCCCCCCCAAGCGCUCUCUCAUUUCCAGCGCUGGGACAGGUGGCUGCGGGCCCUCUGUGGGGGCCAGCGGGCCCGGCCAGGCCCUGCUUGGGCCAGGCCAGGCCGGGCCACGGCCAUCCUGGAGCCGAUGGACCUGUCCCAGCUGUGGAACCCCCCCCACUGCCUUGCUGUGGGCAGCCGGAGCAGCUUGGCUCUCCCUCCUCUCCACUUCGAUAAGAAAAAUUCAACAUUCCAGCUGCAAAGCUGCAAGGCAGAGGUGAGAUUAACCCUUUUAUUGCUGUGAAGAGCUGAAAACCUGAGGGAAGAGAGAGACGAGAUGCUUAAAGCUGAAAUUCUGUUGUGAAACUAUGAUAUAUCAGAGUAUCCAGUUGUAAUUUCAUGAAGAUAUGGGGGGGUGGAGUGUUCAACUCGUAAGCAAAAGCACCUGUGGUGAGAUAGGCAGAUGCUGACACAGCUGUAAUUUCAUGAGAAGUUUGGACAGGGAGAGAUGAACCAGAUGAGGACUUUUGCUCCAAAGGGAAAGAAGAAACCUCAGUUCUUAGAGAUGCUCCCAGAGAUAGUCCUAACGAUGAAGAUGAGGAAGACCCUUUGCUCCCAGGGAAGGAGAAGGGCCUCUGGGUUUUGUUUCUGAAUGGCUCAACCUUAAAAUUGUACCCCAAAAAACUUCAAGAGUGGACCCUCAAAAGCAGUUGCGGGAAAAGCUGCAAGUCGGGGGAAGGGACUCACAUCGCAAGCAGAGAGACUCCUCUUCCUAAAUGGACUGAACAAUAUUUGGAAGUGGGUGGCUGUCUCGUUGUGAUAAUGUUUUCAUAGCAUGAGCAAGAAGAGACUUCUCUUUCUAAAUGGACUGAACAAGGUUGUUAUGGAAGUGGUAAACAGACUGAACAUCUUAAGGGUUGUCUUUUUACAUUGUCAGUGGGAGAAGGGAGGAAGGUGGGGGGAGGAGGAGAGUUCUGAAGGUGGUAUAAUUUUUUUUUUCUUUCUUCUUUUAGGUCUGUUAAUAAACUUCUUUAUAUUCUUUCAAGUUUGGUGCCUGCUUUGCAUUUCUCCUAAUUCUUAUCUCACAGAAGAUAAACAGUAAUGAGUAUUUUGGACCAAACCACUACACCCGCGAAGGUUCUAUUUUAAAACUAUAGAGAUAAGAGAAGUUCAUUUGUUGAGAGGCAGAAAAGUGUCUGUCAACAUGCAAAGUUAACAGAUAAUAUUAAGGUGCCUUCCCUGAAGUUGGUGUUAGCAUGAAAGACUGAUAUCCCCC